GGGGUAAUAGCUCAGUGGUAGAACACAUAAUUAGCACACAUGUGGUACUGGGUUUAAUCCCCAGUACCUCUA
rnacentral:tRNA from 1 species